UCUCUCUCUCUUUCUCUUCCUCAAUCUCUUCUCUUCGUCUUCGAUUCCUCCCCUUGCGUCGACGCCGCCGCUGCCGCUCCUCCUCCGCCGCUGUCCACCCCCUCGAGCCGGUCGCCACCCACCACAGCCGCUGCUCCUCUACCUCUGCUGUCCGUCCCCUUGUUUUCUCUCGUUCUUCGCUCCCGCCUCGAGGCUCUGCUGCAGAUUAAAUGAAGAAAUGAAGGGCAUGGAAAGUCUAGCGACACAAUUGUAUCCUUGACUAGAUGGAAAAAGUCUUUAUCGUUGCUGCAGUGUUUGUCUUGAACACAUUUUUGUCCUGUGAACUUAGAAAUUUAUC